ACUGACGGCAGUUUUUGAUGGUCGGCUAGUACAUGCCCUUUGGCCCGAGCCUGCCGUCUGUUCCCUGUCCGGUGUCCAGUGUCCUUGCCCACAGGACUCCCCACGCCCCCGUAUACAGACCCUAUGCAUAUAUAUGCGCUACUUACAACUGUGUCUGUGGGAGUAGGAGUUUUGUAUAUGCACAAUAGUGGAUGUCCCUGCCCAGGAGUGGCAGGACCGGCACUAAGACGGAGGCUAGGAAUUCAGAAACAGGAACAGGGGACGGGGACGGAGACCAGAACCAAGACGACAACGAUGAGGACGAAGCUGUGUGUGAAGAUGCGAAAUUGCCUGUGAAAUAUUUUCGAGAUAUCCAGUCGAACGAUGGGGAACGGGAAGGAGUGGUCCUUUUUUGCUGCCACUCUCGUUGCGGCAGAACGUUUAGCUGCAGGCGUGGCCGGCAAGGACAAUUGGCCAAAAUGGAAUCAAAUCAGUUGCAAACUUAACCAGCCAUGGAUAAGGAUAUGACCCACAAGUAUAGCGAUGGCGAUGCCGAUGGCCCUCCCAAACUCACGGACAAUUGCCUCUAAUCCAGGAGCCAGCGAAGGCCCGGAAAGGGAUUAGCUUUGAACUCCAUUCGUGGUGGGGGGGUGGGUGUAAGUGUAUAAGUGUCAUCCCUUCCGGGAACCAUAAUGCGACACUUAAGUGCGGUAAAGUUUUCAUUCAACUAGGCCCGAUAUGGCCGAAAUCGCUUUUGAGGUAAUUUAUCUUGAUGGCUACUUGAGCCCGGCCCUACCCUGGGCCUGUCCUCUUCGUUAAUUACGGACAGAGUCGAGGCCAGGGCUUUGGCCUGGCCCCAAAGGGAAAGAACUGAUUUAUAAAUCAAUAAAAACAUGUGCAUAAAUAUUUGCCAAGACAAUCUAAAUAAAUUAUACUGCCAGUGCAAUGCUCUGUCUGUGGUUUUGGUACACUGUAAGAAAUAAUUCAUGCCUGGAUUCUUCACCCAAUCUUAACAUCUUUCAUUUCAUUAUUAUGAAUUCAUUGAGAUCUUCAUCACAUUAUAAUAUCCAACGUAAAGAUCUUAGAUCUGCCCGAAUGCAGAUGGAUAGAUAUUUUCCUCAGUUUUGAGUGCACAAAAAUCUCAUGCAAAAUGCAUGCGAAAGACAAACGAAGCCAGUCACUGGAUGCAUAGACAGCCAGACCAAAGAACGGACAGGACAGCAAGACGAAUCCUGCAGCUUACUUAUUAACUGGCCUUAGGAC